rnacentral:rRNA from 1 species
GACGAACGCUGGCGGCGUGCUUAACACAUGCAAGUCGAGCGGUAAGGCCCUUUCGGGGGUACACGAGCGGCGAACGGGUGAGUAACACGUGGGUGACCUGCCCUCAGCUCUGGGAUAAGCCUGGGAAACUGGGUCUAAUACUGGAUAUGACUCCACGGUGCAUGUCGUGGGGUGGAAGGCCUUGUGCGGCUGAGGAUGGGCCCGCGGCCUAUCAGCUUGUUGGUGGGGUGAUGGCCUACCAAGGCGACGACGGGCAGCCGGCCUGAGAGGGCGACCGGCCACACUGGGACUGAGACACGGCCCAGACUCCUACGGGAGGCAGCAGUGGGGAAUCUUGCGCAAUGGGCGAAAGCCUGACGCAGCGACGCCGCGUGAGGGAUGACGGCCUGG